rnacentral:rRNA from 1 species
UACGUAGGGUGCGAGCGUUAAUCGGAAUUACUGGGCGUAAAGCGUGCGCAGGCGGUUUUGUAAGCCGGAUGUGAAAUCCCCGGGCUUAACCUGGGAACUGCGCUUGUGACUGGAAGGCUAGAGUACGGCAGAGGGGGGUGGAAUUCCACGUGUAGCAGUGAAAUGCGUAGAUAUGCGGAGGAACACCGAUGGCGAAGGCAGCCCCCUGGGCUAGCACUGACGCUCAGGCACGAAAGCGUGGGGAGCAAACAGG